AGUGAACGCUGGCGGUAGGCCUAACACAUGCAAGUCGAACGGCAGCACAGUAAGAGCUUGCUCUUACGGGUGGCGAGUGGCGGACGGGUGAGGAAUACAUCGGAAUCUACUUUUUCGUGGGGGAUAACGUAGGGAAACUUACGCUAAUACCGCAUACGACCUUCGGGUGAAAGCAUGGGAUCUUCGGACCUUGCGCGAUUGAAUGAGCCGAUGUCGGAUUAGCUAGUUGGCGGGGUAAAGGCCCACCAAGGCGACGAUCCGUAGCUGGUCUGAGAGGAUGAUCAGCCACACUGGAACUGAGACACGGUCCAGACUCCUACGGGAGGCAGCAGUGGGGAAUAUUGGACAAUGGGCGCAAGCCUGAUCCAGCAAUACCGCGUGGGUGAAGAAGGCCUUCGGGUUGUAAAGCCCUUUUGUUGGGAAAGAAAAGCAGCAGGUUAAUACCCCGCUGUUCUGACGGUACCCAAAGAAUAAGCACCGGCUAACUUCGUG
rnacentral:rRNA from 1 species